GUGGGGGAUAUUGCACAAUGGGGGAAACCCUGAUGCAGCGACGCCGCGUGAGGGAAGACGGUCUUCGGAUUGUAAACCUCUGUCUUCGGGGACGAAACUGACGGUACCCGAGGAGGAAGCCACGGCUAACUACGUGCCAGCAGCCGCGGUAAUACGUAGGUGGCGAGCGUUGUCCGGAAUUACUGGGUGUAAAGGGAGCGUAGGCGGGAAUGCAAGUUGAAUGUGAAAUCUAUCGGCUCAACCGAUAGCUGCGUUCAAAACUGUGUUUCUUGAGUGAAGUAGAGGCAGGCGGAAUUCCUAGUGUAGCGGUGAAAUGCGUAGAUAUUAGGAGGAACACCAGUGGCGAAGGCGGCCUGCUGGGCUUUUACUGACGCUGAGGCUCGAAAGCGUGGGUAGCAAACAGG
rnacentral:rRNA from 1 species